UAAGAAUCUCUAUCUGAAGGCUACAACUUGUAGAGGGUGUGGAUACAAGCUAAUUGGGGAGAUAUGGAUAGAUUGCUACGUGGUGCUGAAAGUGCUGUUGAAAUUGGAAAUCAUGAAUUUUUAAUUAUGUCAAUGAUCUUACUUAUAUAAAUUUUCUGCUAAGAUCAAACACCUUAACAUGAUGGUUCCUAACUGGAGGUUUUCUUCUGAAUUACAUGGAAGCUCUUUCCUGACCCUUAACUCAGACCUAAUGAUUUAAAAUUUCUACAAGGUCUGCCAUGUGUCUUUUUGCAACUUCCACACGUUUUUCUUUGUUUAUGAUUCACAGAAUCCCUCUUUUGGCAUAGCCUACAAUGAUCCUCAUGACUAGGUGUCUUUCUACCUGUUCAUCUUCACCUCCCAUAUGUCAAUCAUAAAAAAACUUCCUGUUGUGAGGGCCCCUGAUUACAUCAUACUUUCCCAUCAUUUACUACUGACCUUGAAUGGACAACCAACAAGUACCACAUCAUAUCAUAGAGAAGACUUAAUUCUACAACAGUAGUUACAAAGCACAGACCCAUUUCUACAUUCUUUUCUAUAUCUCUCCUUGGNACAGUAGUUACAAAGCACAGACCCAUUUCUACAUUCUUUUCUAUAUCUCUCCUUUCUAUAUCUUUCUAUAUCUUAUAUAUCUUAUAAUAUAUAUCUAUAUUCCUUUCUAUAUCUCUCCAGGGGUCUGGCCUGUAUUAUUCAGAUGUCUUUGUGGGAGGCAGGAGUUCAGAACAUAACACUUGUGAUAGAAGAAACUUCAAUAUAUUGGCAGCUCUGGUACAAGUACAGAUGUACUUGUACUAUGUAUUCUGGAACCAGGGCACCAGUCAAACCAAGGCAAGAGAAGAAAAUCAAGCCAAAUAAAAGCCAAAAAGACUUGACAUCUGUGAAGUUGCAGAGGGGCUUUCAGCAGCCACCUCGAUUCUGCAUGGUGUACAGUCAUAGAGGAGAUAGCAGCGGCACAAAGUACAUAGAAUCCACACAGCAGCACACUGUCGAUUGGAGCAAGAAUGAUCAUCUGACUCAAUCUGAACGGUUAAAGCUUCUCCUCCAGGAACUUGAAAUUUGAACUGAAGAAAUUUUCAUUGCUUUUUGUGACCAGAUUUGUAACAAAUUGAGUUGAAUAUUACUCAGCCUUUAGAAAGGAUGAAUACCCGCCAUUUGCUUCAACGUGGAUGGAACUGAUCCUGGAUGAAGUAAGUCAAUCAGAGGACAAUCAUCAUGUGGUUUCACUCAUAUGACUUUCUAGUUGGACAUUUUAUCUCUUUUCAAUGAAAAUUUGCUUUGGACCUAUGAACCUGCUGAUUUAACAUAUGCAUUUGGCUUAACUUUUAGUAUGGUGGGGAAAAUUUAUUUCUAAACAAAGCAAAAUUUUAAGUUGUCA
rnacentral:lncRNA from 1 species